rnacentral:tRNA from 1 species
GUCGCAAUAGCUCAGCUGGAUAGAGCAACGGUCUUCUAAACCGUAGGUCGAGAGUUCGAAUCUCUCUUGCGACAC